GUUAGAAUUUAGGGUUUUGUCUUUGCUACUUCUACUGGAAGACUGUUCCAGAAUCUUACUCAUCCUGAUAAUUGUCAUAAUAGCUAUCACAGUGACUCAAACAUCCUCAGGUAAUGGGAGAAAAAUCCUUCAUAUUCUUCCAUCAGGCCAGAUGAUUGUACAGGCCCAAUAACUAUCCUGUAAUCUGCCAUGCAGCAAACUCAAACUCUGGCACUAAAAAUGAGAGCCUUUACACACUGACUGCGAUCCUGUACCUACCCUUGGCUUUGCCAGAGAGUCUACCAGAAGGACUACUGGUGGGAGAAGUCUCAUGAAAAGAUGCUUCCCCUGGAAAAAUAAUUUGAAUGCCUGACUCAAUUCUUGUCUUCAGGUCAGUCACUUGUUACCAAAAAUAAUCUGAUCCACUGCUCACUAUUCAACAGCAGCCAAACAGGAGAUGUAAAAUGGGCAUGCCACUAAACUCAACUACUAUAUAUUUUUUCAGAGCAGCUUAUGAAAAAUUCUUCAUAACUUGGCUUUCUUUUUGGCACCCUAUUCUGUUCACAUGCACAUCAACUUCCAUUUAUCACAUAUCCACUGAGGGAAAUCAAGCAGCAAGUUUCACCUUCCAGAUCAUCUUCUUUCUGCCAAAAUCCAGCUCCAAUUAGUUCGAAAACCCAAAGAUGUUGUAUCAACUGUAGCAACUUUCUGGAGCUCAGUACCACAGUACUGUCCUUAUUGUCCAUCCAAGAAGUGAAUAAACAGACAAUUAUACAAAGCAUAGAAGAUUGCUUAAGGAAGGGAGUACGUAUAAAACAGCAAUACAUUUCAAUGCUUUCUACCUGUAUGUGCUUCUUUACUAAUGACCUCAUCAUUGACUAUAGGUGUUCAAUAUUACAUAUGGGAUGGAGGCAAAUUCCAAAACAUUCAGAGAGUGGUACUCCAGCCACCCUGAAUUCAGUCAGCAUACUAAGAGUCAGCAAGAGUCUUGUGCUUGAACACACAGAUCUGAGUAUGAAUUGCAGAAAUAUUUCUGAAGUCCUAUCUACAGUAUUUUAUUUACAGCAACUGCCAAAAGCAGUUAGGAAAUGUCCCAGACUGGCUGAAGCAGCUGCCAGAUGAAGUAUGCUAGGGAAAGGCCAGAUCUGGCUGGCAGAAUCUGCCUACAGGCAUGCACUGUGUAGUGUGGGUCGGAUCAGACUCGGGCAGCUCUGGGGGAUGGAUGGUGGGGCUCUGUGAGCCAGAAGUGGCCUGUGGGCUGUAUGAUUGACACCCCUGAUCUACAGGCUCCUUGUAACAUUACAGAUGAUUCACUCACUUUGGAAAUAUUAUAAGCUGCAAUUCCUCAUUUUUCUGAAUUCAGGAGCUCCCUUGCCUGAUAUUUUCAGAAGUCCACACAGCUCCAUCUUGCCAUUGCAUUAGAACUCUUAACCUGUAGGGUCUUGAAAAGCAAGAUUGCAACAGAGCCUUGUGAAGUUUUUCAAAACAGGUGACAUCUGGGUUUGUCCUUCAGACAUUUGGGGCGUACAAGUCUUUUGUGACACAGGAGAGGCAGAUGACACAGAAGUUGAUGCUGCUGCUGCUGCUGCCGCCAAGGCUGGAGGAAGGUCGUCUUCAUCACUAUUGUUAAAAGUGCACAAUGUUUAUUUCAUUAGAGUUGCAUGUAUCUAUCCAUGUAAUAUGAUUUUGACUAUACUUAUUUUUGGAGGAGAAAAGAAAUGAGGAGAAGAAUCUGGGGGCUCUUGGAAGAAUUUGGGGGGGCCCACAGCACUUCUGAAUGUCAUUCUCUUGAUCAUCCCACAUAUGAUUUAAUGCUUAUCAGCAAGUUUGCAAAUAAAUUAGAUUUUCGUUUUAAAAUUUAAUGUCUUUAUUAAACAAUGGAAUAGCUAAGCAGUGCCUAUGAAUGCUUUUAAAUGGCAUGUGGUUUCUAAGCUAACUUAAUAUUAUGUA